rnacentral:rRNA from 1 species
CCUACGGGAGGCAGCAGUGAGGAAUAUUGGUCAAUGGGCGGAAGCCUGAACCAGCCAAGUAGCGUGCAGGAUGACGGCCCUACGGGUUGUAAACUGCUUUUAUACGGGAAUAACGCGCCUUACGUGUAGGGCUUUGCAUGUACCGUAUGAAUAAGGACCGGCUAAUUCCGUGCCAGCAGCCGCGGUAAUACGGAAGGUCCGGGCGUUAUCCGGAUUUAUUGGGUUUAAGGGGAGCGUAGGCCGCAUGUCAAGCGUGCUGUGAAAUGUCCGGGCUCAACCCGGGCCUUGCAGCGCGAACUGGCGUACUUGAGUCCGCGGAAAGCAGGCGGAAUUCGUCGUGUAGCGGUGAAAUGCUUAGAUAUGACGAAGAACCCCGAUUGCGAAGGCAGCUUGCUGCAGCGGAACUGACGCUGAUGCUCGAAAGCGCGGGUAUCGAACAGGAUUAGAUACCCCUGUAGUC